GAUGAACGCUGACAGAAUGCUUAACACAUGCAAGUCAACUUGAACUUCGGUUUGGGUGGCGGACGGGUGAGUAACGCGUAAAGAACUUGCCUCACAGAUAGGGACAACAUUUGGAAACGAAUGCUAAUACCUGAUAUUAUGAUUUUAGGGCAUCCUAGAAUUAUGAAAGCUAUAUGCGCUGUGAGAGAGCUUUGCGUCCCAUUAGCUAGUUGGAGAGGUAACGGCUCACCAAGGCGAUGAUGGGUAGCCGGCCUGAGAGGGUGAUCGGCCACAAGGGGACUGAGACACGGCCCUUACUCCUACGGGAGGCAGCAGUGGGGAAUAUUGGACAAUGGACCAAGAGUCUGAUCCAGCAAUUCUGUGUGCACGAUGAAGUUUUUCGGAAUGUAAAGUGCUUUCAGUUGGGAAGAAAAAAAUGACGGUACCAACAGAAGAAGUGACGGCUAAAUACGUGCCAGCAGCCGCGGUAAUACGUAUGUCACAAGCGUUAUCCGGAUUUAUUGGGCGUAAAGCGCGUCUAGGUGGUUAUAUAAGUCUGAUGUGAAAAUGCAGGUCUCAACUCUGUAUUGCGUUGGAAACUGUGUAACUAGAGUACUGGAGAGGUAAGCGGAACUACAAGUGUAGAGGCGAAAUUCGUAGAUAUUUGUAGGAAUGCCGAUGGGGAAGCCAGCUUACUGGACAGAUACUGACGCUGAAGCGCGAAAGCGUGGGUAGCAAACAAG
rnacentral:rRNA from 1 species